CUUGAACGCUGGCGGCAGGCCUCACACAUGCAAGUCGAACGAGUGGCGGACGGGUGAGUAAUGUCUGGGAAACUGCCCGCUGGAGGGGGAUAACUACUGGAAACGGUAGCUAAUACCGCAUACCAUCGGAUGUGCCCAGAUGGGAUUAGCUAGUAGGUGGGGUCACGGCUCAACUCGGCUACGAUCACUAGCUGGUCUGAGAGGAUGACCAGCCACACUGGAACUGAGACGAGGUGCAGACUCCGACGGGAGGCAGCAGUGGGGAAGAUGGCACAAUGGGCGCAAGCCGGAUGCAGCGAUGCCGCGUGUAUGAAGAAGGCCUUGGGGGUGUAAAGUACUUUCAGCGAGGAGGCGUUACUCGCAGAAGAAGCACCGGCUAACUCCGUGCCAGCCGCCGCGGUAAUUC
rnacentral:rRNA from 1 species